rnacentral:rRNA from 1 species
GAUGAACGCUGGCGGCGUGCCUAAUACAUGCAAGUCGAGCGAACAGACGAUGAUCUUGCUCCUCUCACGUUAGCGGCGGACGGGUGAGUAACACGUGUAUCACCUCCCUAUCAGACUGGUAUAACUUCGGGACACCGGCUCUAAUACCGUAUAAUCUCUUGCACCGCGUGGUUCAAUAGUGAAAUUCGGUUUUGCUGUCUCUUCUCGAUGCAUCUGCGCCGCAUUAGCUAGUUGGUAAGGUAACGGCUUACCAAGGCAACGAUGCGUAGCCGAACUGAGAGGGUGAUAGGCCACCCUGGAACGGAGACACGGUCCAGACGCCUAAGGGAGGCAGCAGUAGGGAAUCUUACGCAAUGGGCGAAAGCAUGACGGAGCAACGCCGAGUGAGUGAUGAAGGUCUUCGGAUCGUAAAACUCUGUUAUUAGGGAAGAACAAAUGUGUAAGUAACUAUGCACGUCUUGACGGUACCUAAUCAGAAAGCAACGGCUAACUACGUG